rnacentral:rRNA from 1 species
UGCCAGCAGCCGCGGUAAUACGGAGGGUGCGAGCGUUAAUCGGAAUUACUGGGCGUAAAGGGCGCGUAGGCGGUCUGAUAAGUCGGGUGUGAAAUCCCCGGGCUCAACCCGGGACCUGCAUUCGAUACUGUCAGGCUUGAGUGUAGUAGAGGGAAGCGGAAUUCCGGGUGUAGCGGUGAAAUGCGUAGAUAUCCGGAGGAACACCAGUGGCGAAGGCGGCUUCCUGGACUAACACUGACGCUGAGGCGCGAAGGCGUGGGGAGCAAACAGGAUUAGAUA